UACGUAGGGUGCAAGCGUUGUCCGGAAUUACUGGGCGUAAAGCGCGUGUAGGCUGUUCGGAAAGUCGGGUGUGAAAGCCCUGGGCUCAACCUAGGAAGUGCACUCGAAACUCCCGAACUGGAGUCCCGGAGAGGAAGGUGGAAUUCUCGGUGUAGAGGUGAAAUUCGUAGAUAUCGAGAGGAACAUCGGUGGCGAAGGCGGCCUACUGGACGGUGACUGACGCUGAGACGCGAAAGCGUGGGGAGCAAACAGG
rnacentral:rRNA from 1 species